AUCUCUUUUACUCUUUCCAUGAUGAAAACUACAUGAUUUUUGUUUUCCUAAUGCAAUCAACCUAUUAUCUUACCUCUCAAUUAUCGUAGCAACUUCAUAGAUUAUUUGAAAGGUUGGUCUUUGGAGGUUACAUAGAUUAUUUAACUAUUAGGCAAUUUUUUGGUAAUUCUUUUACUUUCACUCCCUAGCAACCUUGAGCAGCUAAAUACGUUAGAAGAUAUAACUAAACUUAUAUGACCAGGACUUGUCUUAAAGGACUUCUUCUAUUUCCUUCAUUAAUGAUUAAUUCUUUUGGCCACAUUCUGAAAAGUUCAAAAGAUGUCCCCUUUUUCUAAUCAAAUCUUAAUUUGUUUCAGUAGGAAUUACAUCUAAUUUAGAGUCUGUACAAAAAAAAGGGUGUCUGGAUAAUUUCCUCUAUUUCCUGUCCUUUAUUUCAAAUAAUAAUUUUUAAGGGACAAAAUGCCUUAAAGCUUGAAAGAAGGGCCACAUUUUGAUUAAAUUGCAAGUGAUGUUUGUUACCUUGGUUUCACUUUAUCUGAUGAAAUGCUAAAACUUAGCUUAAGAUUUAGAAUACUUAUCUGCAAGUUUCCCCUGUGCAUCAAAUUGUAAGUGUGUUUUACAGUUUUUAGAAGCCAGUCUAACUUUGUAAAAGCUAUGCAACAGGACAGAAUGUUCUUUUUACAUGGUAUAAUUGGUUAUAAA
rnacentral:sRNA from 1 species